GUCAAGGUUUGAAAGAUUGGGAUGAGGAAGACGACCCAUGGGUAGAACAUGUACGUUGGUCUCCUAACUGUACUCAUGUAUUGAUAUGUUAAAUAUAUUCAAUAAAACCGUUCCAGUAUCUUUUUCAAGUGUAUCUGUUUUCGUGUAUUUAAUCAAAUCAUUCAAAAUGAAAUUACCAAAAAGUGUCAAAAAUGUAGAACAUCUGGUUGAAUACAUGGAAAGUACUAGAGUGUUAUGUUUUUUUAGAAAUAGC